CCCGCCACCAGGGAUUUGGGGAUCCUGAGAAUAGCCUGAAAGUGUUGCAUGAGGAGCAGCUGAGGAGGAGGAGGAGUGAAGGGCUUGGAAAGGAGGCAGAGCUUGCAGGAGGCUGCAGAAGCCGACUGGGCCUAAUAACGAACAGGACUUUCCUGAGUCUUCAGGGGCAUCAUUGAGUCUGCAGCAGGGUGCAAGAGGACGGCGCUGCCUGAAGGACUGAACGUGUUCUUACACACACCCCGUGCCAGCCUGAAGGACUCUGGGCUGCUGCAUGCUUUGGCUAAAGAGCAAGGUAAAUGUUGAGAGAAGAAGAAUGAUAGAAACCCAAUGGAUGGAGCAGCUAGAUGGGGAAAAAGGAAACAAGAGAGAAUAAACACUGGAGAAAACUGGGAGAACAGGAAUGAAUCCAAUGCUUCUCAGCAUGUAAUCCUUCAAAUAACACAGCAAGCAGGAGAAAGAAGCCUGUGUCCUCCGUGUAGGAAAAGCUCCUCUACUGAACCCAGCUUUCAAUCUUAGAAGGAAAUGAACGCAAGGAAGAAACCACAUAAAUGCCUGGAGUGUGGAAAGAGCUUCAGCACAAGCGGAUAUCUUAUUAUACACCAUAGAACCCACACUGGGGAGAAAUCAUAUAAAUGCCUGGAGUGUGGAAGAGCUUCAGCACAAGUGGACAUAUUAUUAUACACCAUAGAACCCACACUGGGGAGAAACCACAUAAAUUCCUGGAGUGUGGAAAGAGCUUCAGCACGAGGCCACAACUUACUGUACACCAUAGAACCCACACUGGGUAGAAACCACAUAAACCUCAGAAGCAUGGUGGAACAGUGAGAACCAGUGAGACACUGUUAUCCCUGGAUAUAAAUUCUAUAGAAAAGGCAGGGAGGGGUGCCUUGGAGGUGGAGUAGCACUCUAUGUUAAGAAGGGAUAGAAUCUAACAAGCUAGAAAACCUAGUUGGGCUGGAGUCCUCCACAGAAACCCAUACAAGCCUGAAAACGAACGUGCUACCUGGGACGUUCUAUUGUCCUCUGGAUCAAAACGCUGACAGCGACUGGGAGUUGCAGGAGGAAAUCAGGGAGGCAUCAAGGAGAGGCAGGGCUGUAAUAAUGGGUGACUUCAAUUACCCACACAUAGGCUGGGUAAAUUCAGUCAGGUAAUGACAAAGAGGUCAAAUCAGAUACGCUGAAUAACUGUGCCCUAAAAGAGUUGGUCUUGGAACCAACCAGAGAGAAGAUGACCUUGGACUUAAUCCUGAGUGGCAGUGGCACCCAGGACCUGGUGUGUGAUGUCAGUAUCAUCAACCCUUUUUAGGGAACAGUGACCAUAGUGUGAUCAAAUUCAGCAUACAUGUGGGGAGAGAAUCACCAAGGAAGUCUAACACAGACAUUUUGAAUUUCAUAAGAGAAAACGUCUCCAAAAUGAGGAGUAUGGUGAAAAGAGAGCGGAAAGGGAAAAUCAGGAGUCACUUGGCUACAGAGUGUAUGGAGUUUACUCAAAAUCACAGUACUAGAAGCCCAGUUAGAUUGUAUGCCCAAAAGGAGGAAAGGUACCGCUAUGUCCAGGAGGAUGCCAGCAUGGCUAACAUUCGACAACAAUGUGCAAAAACAUGUAUAAAAAUGUACUUCAUUAUCAUUAAUGCAUGAAAAUGUACUACAUUAUCAUUAAUGGAUUCUGAAUACAGAAUCUGGAUCCCCUGUGUACCAAACACAGUUCAAGUGCUAUUUAGCCAUCCAGAGCAUAGGCUAGAAGUUCAAACUCUCCAGCUCACAAGGAAGCCAUAAAAGGGAAGAAGACUUCCUUCUGAAAUUGGAAGGCCUGUCUAAAUGAAGAGAACAGAAAGGAACACAAACUCUGACCAAAGAAAUGCAAGGUGACAAUAAGGGAGGCAAAAAGAGAGUUUGAGGAACAUUUAGCUAAAAACGUCAAGGGGAAUAACAAAAACUUCUUUAAAUGCAUCAGAAGCAGGAAACCUGCCAUGGAGGUGGUUGGACCAUUAGACAAUGACGGAGUGAAAGGAAUUACUAAGGAGGAUAUGGAGGUUGCAGAGAAGCUAAAUGAGUUCUUUGCCUCCGUCUUCAUGGCAGAGGAUACUGAGCAUAUACCUGUUCCUGAACCAGGCUUUUCGGGGAUGGAGGCUAAAUAACCAAGUCAGAUAGAAGUGACAAGAGAUGAUGAUCUAAACUGUCUGGAAAAACUGAAAACUAGCAAAUCGCCAGGGCUGGAUGGCAUCCAUCCAAGAGUCCUUAAAGAACUCAAAUGUGAAAUUGCCAACCUCCUUGCAAAAAUGUGAUUGAGAGGGUGGUAGCCGACCAGCUCCAGGCAGUCUUGGAGGAAACCGAUUAUCUAGACCCAUUUCAAAUUGGCUUUAGAGCUUGCUAUGGGGUUGAGACAGCCUUGGUCAGCCUGAUGGAUGACCUUUACCGGGGAAUUGACAGAGGGAGUGUGACUCUGCUGGUUCUUCUGGAUCUCUUGACAGCAUUGACCAUGGUAUCCUUCUGGAUCGCCUGGGGGAGUUGGGGAUGGGGGCACUGCCUUGCAGUGGUUCCACUCCUCUCUCUCAGAUAGAUUCCAGAUGGUGGAGCUUGGUGACACUUGCUCCUCACAAUAGGAGCUGUUAUAUGGAGUCCCUCAGGGCUCCAUUCUGUCACCAGUGCUUUUCAAUAUCUACAUGAGGAGUUUUGGUCAUCAGGAGUUUUGGUGCUCUUAUCCGUAUACCAAAUCUACUUCUCCUUUAAAUCUUCAGGAAAUGCACUCAUUCUCUAAAUGCCUGCCUACAGGCAGUAAUGGGCUGGAUGAGGGAGAACAAAUUGAAUCUGAAUCCAAGCAAGACGGAGGUGCUCAUUGUGGGGGCUCAGACUCUGAGGGGUGUGUUAGAUCUUCCUGUGCUGGAUGGGGUUACACUCCCCCAAAAAGAGCAGUUGUGCAGCUUGGGAGUACUCCUGGUCCCAGGCCUCACCCUGGUAUCUCAGGCGGAGGCCAUGGCCAGGAGUGCUUUCUAUCAACUUCAGCUGAAUGGACAGCUGCACCCAUUCCUUGAAGAAAAUGACUUCAAAACAGUGGUGCAUCAGCUGGUAACCUCCAGGCUCGACUACUGCAAUGUGUUCUACGUGAGGCUGCCUUUUACAUAGUCCAGAAAUUUCAUUUAGUUCAAAAUGUGGCAACCAGAUUGUUCUCUGGGGCAACCUGGAGAGACCAUAUUUUGCCUGUUUUGAAACAGUUACACUGGCUGCCAAUAUGUUUCCAGGCAAAAUACAAAGUGCUGGUUAUUACCUUUAAAGCCCUGAACAGCUUGGGUCUGAGUUAUUUUAGAGAGUGCCUUCUUCUACAUGAUCCCCACCACACAUUAAGGUCAUCUGAGGAGGUCUGUCUCCCUUUACCACUGGUUCGUAUGGUGGUGACUCAGAGGCGGGCCUUCUCUGUAGCUGCUCCUGAACUGUGGAAUGUACUCCCAGCAGAAAUCCACAAUCUGAAUUCUUUAUUGACCUUCAGGAGAGCCCUUAAGACCUAUCUGUUUGGCCUGGCCUUCCAGGGUUUUGAAUUAGUUUUAAUUGUUUUAAUGCUGUAACCUGGUUUUCAGGGUUUUUUAAUUGUUCUGAUGGUUUAAUUGUUUUUUUUAAUGAUGUUUUAAAUUGUUAAUUGAUGUCUUACAUUGUUUAUAGUUCUGUUUUAACUGUUAUUGGUUUUAAUGGUUUUGUUUUAAUUGUAAACUGCCCUGAUCCACUUUGGAAGGGCAGUAUAAAAAUCGAACAAAUAAAUAAACUAUUAGAAAAAAUGAA